UUUUUUUUUAUUUAUUUAUUUAUUUAUUUAUUUAUUUAUUUAUUUAUUUUUUAGUUUUUGUUCUAAAGAGUAUAAAACCUUUUUUGACUAUAUAUGUACUUUCUGUCAUUGCCUUUGUAUCUUUAAAAUAAAUGUUUUCAUAGUUUUUCUGAGAUACAAUGAUUUAAUUUCAUGUUUUAUCUUCUAUUUCUUUUUCUAAUAGUCACAUAUUUUACUCCCCUUAGAGAAAUUCCUAAAGUUACUGUCUUUUGGGUUGGUAAUUGGCUAUCCAGAUUUGCUUGAGGAAGUCUUUAAAUUUUUAUGUUUUGCUAUUCAUGUGCUUCCCCCCCCCCAGGAUAUUUGUAAAAAGUGUUAAAGUUGAUUUUGCAUCAUUAUUCAAGAAGGUAACUAUUCAUCCUUGCUUUUGGUUAUAUUCUUAAGCCAGUAUCCAAUUUAUGAUUGUACGUCCCUUCCAGUUAUAUGUGGGUGUAUUAAAAUGCAAUAUUUUGAAUUUGUGGGAGAAAAUCUAGGAGUUGAAUGUAUUUGGGGAACUAUGAAACAAUAUUAGGGGAAAGCAGGGAAUAGUGUAUGAAAUUAAGAGCCAUUCAAAAGAAAUGUACUGCUUCUUACAUUGCUGUGAAGAAAACAGAAAGCUUGAGUUUGCUAUUCUCUAGUUGUAGAAAAAAUUCUGUAUAUAAAUUGAAUGUAAAUGUUACAAUAUGGUUUAUAUCUAAGUGAUGAGUUGCAUGAGAAGGCAGCUGAAUACUAGCUGAAUGCGUAGGAAACCAAGCACAGUGAAAAAUCAAGAGGCAAGGUAGCCUGGGAGGCUUCCUGAGGAAAACGGGGCAUCAACGAAGCCUGAAGAUUUAGGUAGAUGGGAGAGUAGUUGUGGAUAUUGAGGAUAUGAACAAUAAGAAUGCCAUGCUUGUGGUAAAAUGACCUGACAUGGGAGAUGGAUAAAGAGGGUGAGUGAAUCAUUGCCAUGUUUCUUGUAGGACCUUGGAUUCUAGAUAAUGUCUUUGGUGUCUGUAGGAUGAUUAGGGGAUGGUAUAGGAGAGGAAAGAGUUGGAGAAGUAAAGGGGUAUGAGAUAGGUGAGUAAAAAUGUGCACAGAAGGAUUUGAGAGACUCAGAUAUUCUGACUGAAACAAACAACAAUUAUUAAACAAGUGUCUAAGGUAUAAGAAGACCUUCAGUAUCAGACUUCCCUGUUGAUUGUUAACACUUGUUACUGCUGGCUUAUUUCUUCCUUCCUUCAAUAUCUUUUUGUUUGAUUAUCUUUUUGUUCUUCAUUUAAUGAAAAUGUUACUUUUUUUAAAAGAUUUAUUUACUUAUUAUAUGUAAGUACACUGUAGCUGUCUUCAGACACUCCAGAAGAGGGAGUCAGAUCUCGUUACGGAUGGUUGUGAGCCACCAUGUGGUUGCUGGGAUUUGAACUCCGGACCUUCGGAAGAGCAGUCGAGUGCUCUUACCCACUGAGCCAUCUCACCAGCCCGAAAAUGUUACUUUUAAUAUAACUUGAUAUAUUUGCACCUCCUUGAAUGAAUCAUUCUCAAGCCAAAAUACUGUUUUAACAUCUCUCAUUUCUUUCUUAUUAGAGCAUUUAUGUCUUGAAACAGUGUUGGUGUGUAAUUCUUUGGACUGUCUAGUUCCUUUGUGAGUUACCCAGGCUGAAGUUUACAGUGAAUAGUGAACUUUUACGAAUUAUCCCUUACAACUUCAAAUUAACCUGCAGGAGUUAGUAUACAGGGACACUGAAUUCAUGAGUCUUUCAGCUUAUUCACGUAAGAUCUAGCCUAUAUACCUCUGCACUUAUACAUAUGGUAUAUUUAAUUAUAAAUUUAUUUCAUAAGAGAUAUAGCACUGCCUUAUGAAGGAAAAAAGUUUUUCCUAGCAAACUUGUUCAUAUACUAAUCAUUUUUUCCUCUGAAUUAGUGAAAACAUGGGCUCACAUGUUUGUAUUCCAAUAUAAUUAAGAUUUUAAUGGUCAUCUAACUUUUAGAAUGUGCACCACUAACUAGUUUUACAUCUAUCAAAGAAGAAAUUAUAAAUUCUAAAUCAACAUAGUAUGUAAAGAACAACUAAAAGUCUAGAAUGUUUUAGUAUAAAGAACUUCUAUAUAUUAGUCAAAGAAUCCUCAUUGACUAUUCUGCAUGUUGCGUAGUUGAUUUAAAGCACUGGUACAAUACAGUGUACCAUACUUCAUGUUUUCAGAGUACUUCUCGCCCGUUACUACUGAUUUCAUUCUCUGUCUGAUAGCAAUAGACUGAAAUCUUUUUCUUGUGGUAUUUUGAUUUAUCAUUACCAUUUCUACAUCUGUCAUCAACUCAUUUCGUGGUUUAUACAAUUAAAGAUAUAAUGAUUUUAUUUCUUCUUUGAGAAUGGAACUGCUAAAUGACCACAGUAUUCGAGUUGACUACCAAGGUCCCCAUGUCAUCAGUUAAGCUGGGCUUAGGGCAGAUGUCCAGUAUAGCCUUUCUAAAUUUUUAAUAAUUUUCCCCUAAGUGCAUUCAACUGAAAUGCACAGUAAUAGAUAUUCUACUUAUCAGUCCUUCCUAUGGUUUUUCUUUUCCUUUGUUAAGUUAGAGAAAACGAUUAUGUUACCUUGGGGCACAUUUUUAAGUACACAGAAGAC
rnacentral:lncRNA from 1 species